rnacentral:lncRNA from 1 species
CUCUCACUCAGGGUAGCACGGAGCUUGUACUUCACUCCUCCUCUCCUACAGCCUUGGUAACUCUCUCUUCAUUUCUCAGGGCACCAAAGGAGACAGAGGGGAAAAUGGUCAAAAGGUAAAGAACAGCGUUGGUACCACAGUCAGGGGUGCCUCUUCUGACACCAGGAGACCUUGUGUCCUCCAUGACUGCUCUCGCUCCUGACAUCUUACCUCCCAUCUCAGGGAGAGGUGUCCGGGUGGCCUCCUGAGAUGUGGGCUCAGCGUGGCUGGGAUGGGUCACCCACUGGGAGACACGGCUUCUGUCUGUUGGCUUGUCAGGGAGUGCUGGUGGCUGCUCUAGGCAGGACACACACCUUAUGACUAAUGCCAGAAGGUAUGAGUCUCACACAGAGUCUUCUGACACCAUCUCCAGUAAUAUUCCCACAACUCAGCUCCCUCUUUUCUGAAGCUCAGAAUCACUGAAGGUUGAGGCUUGGAGGCACCUCUGGGUCCUUCUGGUCCCAUCCCUGCUCCAGCAGGGCCACCCCAAGCUGGUGUCCAGGUGGCUUUUGAAGCUCUCCAAGGAGGGGACACCACAACCUCUGGGUACCUGUGCCAGGGCUCCAGCACCCACCCCGCACAGAAGUGCUUCUGGUGGGCAGAGCAAACCUCCUGGGCUCCAGGUUGUGCCCUGUUUGAGCUGAGCUCUUUAAAUGCUCUCAGCAACUUUAUCUCUCCAGACUUCCCAUCAUCUAGAGGAGAUGUGCUCUUUAGACACUUUAGCAUAGGAUCAGUCCUGAGGGACUUCAGCUGGGUAUCCAGAGAGCAGCAUGGAGCAAGCUCUUGAUGGACCCACAGUGGAAGAAGUGGUCUUGCUUUUUUUCUUGACCUUCUUCUCUUCUCAGGGAGAACCAGGAAUUGGAUUCAGAGGUCCUGUUGGUCAGGCUGGUCCCCCAGGAUUUAAGGGUGAGCCAGGGGCCCCAGGACCUCCAGGAGCUCAGGGCGUCCAGGGCAUUCGAGGCAACGCUGGCACUCCUGGGUCACAGGGGGACAGAGGGGCUCCAGGCCUGCCCGGGACACCAGGACAGAAGGCAGGUGGUGUGUGGUGAGGGGACUGGGCAUGUGGUGUUGGACACAAGGUGAGAACGAGCGUGGUCCUCCUGAGACUGCACCAGGUGUCCACUGCAGGUCAGACCCCCACCUAUCCAAUUCUCCUGAGCCUAUGCAUAGCCCAUGAAGGGAAACAGAGACAAAGCCUGGUUGCAAAAUGAGUGGUAAGAGCAUUGAUUAGAUGAAUUGGUGUGGUUGGGGAAAAAAAAUAAACAGGCAGGGUUUGGUCCA